GACGAACGCUGGCGGCGUGCUUAACACAUGCAAGUCGAACGGAAGGGCCCUGCCUUUGUGGGGUGCUCGAGUGGCGAACGGGUGAGUAACACGUGAGUAACCUGCCCUUGACUUUGGGAUAACUUCAGGAAACUGGGGCUAAUACCGGAUAGGAGCUCCUGCUGCAUGGUGGGGGUUGGAAAGUUUCGGCGGUUGGGGAUGGACUCGCGGCUUAUCAGCUUGUUGGUGGGGUAGUGGCUCACCAAGGCUUUGACGGGUAGCCGGCCUGAGAGGGUGACCGGCCACAUUGGGACUGAGAUACGGCCCAGACUCCUACGGGAGGCAGCAGUGGGGAAUAUUGCACAAUGGGCGGAAGCCUGAUGCAGCAACGCCGCGUGCGGGAUGACGGCCUUCGGGUUGUAAACCGCUUUCGCCUGUGACGAAGCGUGAGUGACGGUAAUGGGUAAAGAAGCACCGGCUAACUACGUG
rnacentral:rRNA from 1 species